rnacentral:rRNA from 1 species
GACGAACGCUGGCGGCGUGCUUAACACAUGCAAGUCGAACGAAAAGAGGGAAAGAGCUUGCUCUUUCCGGAAUUGAGUGGCAAACGGGUGAGUAACACGUAAUCAACCUGCCUUCAGGAUGGGGACAACAGACGGAAACGACUGCUAAUACCGAAUAAGUUCCAAGGGCCGCAUGGCCCAUGGAAGAAAAGGUGGCCUCUACCUGUAAGCUAUCGCCUGAAGAGGGGUUUGCGUCUGAUUAGCUGGUUGGAGGGGUAACGGCCCACCAAGGCGACGAUCAGUAGCCGGUCUGAGAGGAUGAACGGCCACACUGGAAUUGAGACACGGUCCAGACUCCUACGGGAGGCAGCAGUGGGGAAUCUUCCGCAAUGGGCGAAAGCCUGACGGAGCAACGCCGCGUGAGUGAUGACGGCCUUCGGGUUGUAAAACUCUGUGAUCCGGGACGAAAAGGCAGAGUGCGAAGAACAAACUGCAUUGACGGUACCGGAAAAGCAAGCCACGGCUAACUACGUG